GAUGAAGAACGUAGCAAAAUGCGAUACUUGGUGUGAAUUGCAGAAUCCCGUGAACUAUCGAGUUUUUGAACGCAAGUUGCGCCCGAAGCCUUUUGGCCGAGGGCACGUCUGCCUGGGCGUCACGCAUCGCGUCGCCCCCCACAAUUCUCCGUAAAGGGAACGUGUGUUUUGGGGGCGGAUAUUGGUCUCCCGUGCUCAUGGCGUGGUUGGCCAAAAUAGGAGUCCUUUCGAUGGACGCACGAACUAGUGGUGGUCGUAAAAACCCUCGUCUUUUGUUUCGUGCUGUUGCUCGCAAUGUAAACUCUUUAAAAACCCCAAUGUGUCGUCUCUUGACGACGCUUCGACCGCGACCCCAGGUCAGGCGGGACUACCCGCUGAGUUUAAGCAUAUCAAUAAGCGGAGGA
rnacentral:misc_RNA from 1 species